GAGUUUGAUCCUGGCUCAGAUUGAACGCUGGCGGCAUGCCUUACACAUGCAAGUCGAACGGCAGCAUGAUCUAGCUUGCUAGAUUGAUGGCGAGUGGCGAACGGGUGAGUAAUACAUCGGAACGUGCCCUGUAGUGGGGGAUAGCUAGUCGAAAGAUUAGCUAAUACCGCAUACGACCUGAGGGUGAAAGUGGGGGACCGCAAGGCCUCAUGCUAUAGGAGCGGCCGAUGUCUGAUUAGCUAGUUGGUGGGGUAAAGGCCCACCAAGGCGACGAUCAGUAGCUGGUCUGAGAGGACGAUCAGCCACACUGGGACUGAGACACGGCCCAGACUCCUACGGGAGGCAGCAGUGGGGAAUUUUGGACAAUGGGCGAAAGCCUGAUCCAGCAAUGCCGCGUGUGUGAAGAAGGCCUCGG
rnacentral:rRNA from 1 species